GCUCCCGUAGCACAGUUGGUUAGAGCGUCGUACUUAUAAUGCGAAGGUCGGGGGUUCGAGACCCCUCGGGAGCA
rnacentral:tRNA from 1 species